rnacentral:rRNA from 1 species
UGGGGAAUAUUGCACAAUGGGGGAAACCCUGAUGCAGCGACGCCGCGUGAACGAAGAAGGUCUUCGUAUCGUAAAGUUCUGUCCUUUGGGAAGAUAAUGACAGUACCAUAGAAGAAAGCUCCGGCUAAAUACGUGCCAGCAGCCGCGGUAAUACGUAUGGAGCGAGCGUUGUCCGGAAUUAUUGGGCGUAAAGGGUACGCAGGCGGUUUAAUAAGUCGAAUGUUAAAGAUCGGGGCUCAACCCCGCAAAGCAUUGGAAACUGAUAAACUUGAGUAGUGGAGAGGAAAGUGGAAUUACUAGUGUAGUGGUGAAAUACGUAGAUAUUAGGAGGAAUACCAGUAGCGAAGGUGACUUUCUGGACAGAAACUGACGCUGAGGUACGAAAGCGUGGGGAGCAAACAGG